AUCUUCUUGAAGCGAAAGCUUUAAUCAAGUGUAGUAUCUGUUCUUGAACGCUUAAAAUCGUUCAGCUAUCUAAGUGGUAGCAUUCGAAUUUAAAAUUAUUUUUUAUUCGAGGUUUAGUUGUUAUUAUGAUAUUGGCAUGUCCUUUAUUUUACAUCUAAUAAUGUAUUUGCUCUGUGUUGCACAUUUUCAGAGUUUAAAAAAAGUACAACCUCA